GUGCGGCCCGAAGGUCAUAAAUGUCGUGAUGGUUAAAUUCCAUCUCCCAUAGCAUCUGGGUAAAAUCAUGAUCCACACCUUAAGAAAGUGGCAAGUUCUCAUGGUGUAAGCAUGGAUCAAAAGGGAGUAAUAUCAAACCUUAUGAUAAAUCCUCUCGAGAAGAGUUAGAUAUGGCUACGAAAAGAAACUUAUGUUUGAACUGUCGUUAGUUCAAAUAUGCGAAAUAAGGUUGAAUACGCAUAUACCAAAAGGUAUGAAGAAAAGGGUAAUUAGGAUCGGCUUUUCCUGAUUAAGAUGCUUCCAACCUUCCGGCAGAUAGUAAGAGCCUAAGUUUAACGAGAAACGGUUUUAUGGAACGGAGUAACCACAUGGAAGCUCUUAUUAUUCUUUAUUUUCAAAAGGAUAGCUAAGAAGGUAGCCAGCCGAAUGCUCCUAUGUAGAGGGAUUGUCUAAGAAGCUAAUGCCUAAGGUAAUGUUUAGGAUAUGCAAACGUAGACACUGUAGUUUGGAAGGUAAAGUUGUGAAUAGUAGUGAAUAUGUUAUGAGCCAACAAAAUGUUAGGUAUGAAUGGAAUGAAAUUCCUUGGCGCAAGCUGGAGAAAUCUUCAUUUAAGCUACAAAAACGAAUUUACCGAGCUUCACAAUGUAAUGAUAUCAAAAAGAUGCAUAAUCUUCAGAGAUUGUUACUCAGAUCAACAAGUGCAAGAACGCUCGCUGUUAGAAAGGUAACUCAGGAUAACAGAGGAAAAAAGACUGCAGGUAUAGAUGGAAAAGCGAAUCUUAAUCAAAAAGAAAGGUUACAAUUAGUAUAUUCUUUGGAUAUAAGAGAAAAAGCAAAACCAUCGAGACGAGUUUGGAUUCCAAAACCUGGCAAGCCAUCGGAGUAUCGCCCGCUUGGUAUUCCUACAAUAUCAGAUCGAGCAAAACAAACACUUGUAAAAAUGGUGAUAGAACCGGAGUGGGAAGCAAAAUUUGAGCCAAACACAUAUGGUUUUAGGUCUGGUAGGUCGUGUCAUGAUGCCAUUGAAGCUAUAUUCAUAGCACUAAAACAGAAAACAGCAUUUUUACUGGAUGCAGAUAUUUCAGGGUGCUUUGAUAACAUCAACCAUAAUGCAUUACAAAAAAAAGCUUAACACCACACCAACAUUAACUAAAGUUAUAAAAAGGUGGCUAAAAGCAGGAGUUAUGGAAGGUAAAGCGUUUAGACCCACAAAGAGUGGUACAGUACAAGGCGGAACUAUUUCACCUUUGUUAGCAAGUAUAGCUCUACAUGGGUUAGAAUAUUACCUAAAAAUGGCAUUGAGAAAGGAACUAUUUGAUUAUCAAAAGAAAAAAUAUGGUAAAGCUUCACAUAAACAUGCUGGUCAAUCACUAAGUGUGAUUACUUAUGCAGAUGAUUGUGUGAUUCUCCAUGAAAAUGAGGAAAUUGUUUUUAAGGCAAAAAAUCUAACGGAAAGAUGGUUAAAUACCAUUGGAUUAGAGUUAAAGCCAUCAAAGACAAAAAUAUCUCAUACGUUAAAAACUUAUGGAGGACAAAUACCAGGUUUUGAUUUUCUUGGGUUCACAAUACGACAAUACUUAACAAAACAAAGUAAGAAAGGUUAUAAAUUAUUAAUUAAACCAAGUCGCCUCUCUAUAAAACAACAUGCUAAAAUCAUUAAGCAAAAACUUAAAGAAAUGCGUGCAGCACCUCAAGAAGCAGUAAUUAAAAACCUUAAUCCAGUUAUUAGAGGAUGGAGUCAGUAUUACUCUUCGGUAGUGUCACAUAAAGUAUUUAGUUCUUUAGAUCAUGAUAUGCAUGGAAAGCUUUGGAAAUGGGCAGUCUUUAGACACUGUAACAAAGGGAAGCAUUGGAUUAAGAGAAAAUACUUUCGAAAGAAAGAUAACGAUAAUUGGAGAUUUAUGACGAAUAACAAUUUACUGCUUGUUAGGCACGUAGAUCAUGCCAUAAGAAGGCAUAUCAAAGUGAAAGGAUCUAGAUCUUUAUAUGACGGAGAUUGGUUAUAUUGGGCAAAUCGCUUAAGUAAAGUUCCAGGAAAAUCACCACGAGUAAUAAAAUUAAUGAAGUUGCAACAAGGUAAAUGUGAUCAAUGUCAACUUUGGUUCAAAAAUGAUGAUAUCCUAGAGAUACACCAUAAAGACCGGAAUAGACGUAAUAAUAUGAGCAAAAAUUUAUCCUUGUUGCAUGGGCAUUGUCACGACGAAUUACAUGGGAGUAUGCAUGAAAAGCGCCAAAUUAGAGAGAAGCCGGAUGAUGGGAAACUAUCAAGUCCGGUUUUGAAGUCGAGUGGGGAGAGGUGACUUUCCUCACUUAGAUAAC
rnacentral:autocatalytically_spliced_intron from 1 species